UACGUAGGGUGCAAGCGUUAUCCGGAAUGAUUGGGCGUAAAGCGUCCGCAGGUGGCAGUUCAAGUCUGCUGUCAAAGACCGGGGCUUAACUUCGGAAAGGCAGUGGAAACUGCACAGCUAGAGUAUGGUAGGGGCAGAGGGAAUUCCUGGUGUAGCGGUGAGAUGCGUAGAUAUCAGGAAGAACAUCGGUGGCGAAGGCGCUCUGCUGGGCCAUAACUGACACUCAGGGACGAAAGCUAGGGGAGCGAAUGGG
rnacentral:rRNA from 1 species